CUUUGGCAGAUCGGAGAGUGGAGUUUGAUAGAAGAUUGGAUAAGGUUUCUAUGGGCAUUGAUUUUGGGUGAUUUGGAGUUGAUAUGACUUUGUAAGAGCUUUGCAAAGUGGAGGUUUGUUUCGGAUGACUUGGGUUUUAUGAAAUAAAAUAGGGUUUAUGUUUUGAGUGAUUUCGAGAGUUUUGUUCCAGAUCUAUGGGUGAAAUUUUUUGGAUUUAUGAUUACAGUUGUGUUAAAUACAUGUUGUAAAUUUGAGCUCGAUCUAAAGGUUAAAGUGAGAGAUAUUGAGGUUUAAGCGGGUCAUGGACUUAGAAAGUAGAAUUUUAGGUCUAAUAAGGAUUUUUAAGAUUACAUGCAAUCUACUAGUUAAAUUGGAGUAAAACUUAUGUGAGAGGGUAUUAGACUUGUUUUUCUAUAUCCAUGAGAAAUUUGAAACCAAUCGAACUUCGCAAAGAAGAGAAAUUGGCUCUGGAAGGUUGGCAUCAAGUUUGGAGAAGGAGGCCGGCUAACACCCAAACACAUUUUUGAGGUUUUCGUCAAUUUGGUAACUUCGAUCCUUUUCAAAUUUUUUUGUACUUUUUUUAAACUUGAUUUUUAAAAAUUAUGCAAAUGUUGAAUUGAGAUCAACGGUUUAUUCAUUAGAUAUUGUGGUUUAAAUCUGUCAUAGGAAUUACUAAGAUUUGGAUUAGAAUUUGGCUAGGAUUUAGGGUUUGGUUAGGGUUUGAUUUAGGGUUUGGAUUAGGAUUUGGGUUUGAUUAGGAUUUGAUUUAGAGUUUGGAUUAGGAUUUAGAGUUUGAUUUAAGAUUUAGGAUUUAAUUUAAGGUUUGUUUAGGAUUUGACUUAGGGUUUAGGAUUUAUUUGGGUUUAAGAUUUAAUUAGGUUUGGUCUAAAGUUUGAAUGAAAUUCAAUAGAAUUUUAACUAGAAUUAAAUUA
rnacentral:lncRNA from 1 species